GCAAAUGCUUAUAGUGUAUCGUUAAUGCACUGGAUCUGAUUAAAACUCUGCAUUUAAGCACACUCAGGCUAGAGUAAUAUUGGGAUGGGUGACCUCCCGAGAAGUCUUAGUGUUUUACAUGCU
rnacentral:rRNA from 1 species